AGGACAGGGACAGCAGGAAGCCAGCUAAGGGGCAAAGCUGAAUCUUACACUCCUCCCCCACACUACUUCCUGUCCCUUCCCCAACUGAAUCUAAAGGCUCUUCUCAAGAAUGGUGGUCUGAAAGAGGCUGGCAUGGAUAAAAACAUACAGAGGAGACUCCUGGGUUAUGCACGGUCAUUGACAGAGUGAAUCGACUGGUCGGAGCUUGGCAGAGCCUUCCUGACAUUCAGCAUCCAUAACAUUUCUAAUGCUUCAGUGGCUAAAGAAGCCACAUUAAUAAAAACCCGAGGAAUCCUGAGAAUCAAAGGCUGGAGAUGGUACUGAUGGCUGCUGUGAUGCUUAAACACACACGGAUGAAAUGAAUUGCAUUUUCAAUUUGAGAUGGGGAAGUGGGAUGAGAAACCGAGACACGUGUCACCAGGGACUUUUCAGGCCAUCAUGGGUGAUGGAAAGAGCAGCUUGAAUGCCUUGAACAACUACUGGGUCUCAUGCCUGUUAUGAAAUCAGGCUUUGCCGUCCAUCGAAAAGGAGAUGCUUAUUUAGUAGUAAUUCAUAGCACAAGACAUGGAGCUGAGGAUUUUUGACAGGCUUCUGCAGUUUCCAAAUUAUAGGAGUGUCUUAGAGGCUAAAGGUGGCACCGUUUCUUUUCCCUUGUUUAUUAUCGCCCUGUGAGUAUUUCUAUGUUCAGGUCCCUCAUAUAGAGACAGAUUUUUUUCCCCUCUUUUUUUCCUCCCUGUUCUCAGACUUCAUCCAUUAAAAAGCAAUGGCCUAUCCCUCCAGUGAAGACAGAUUAUUCCUUCACUUGGGAGAUAAACCUCUAAACUGGGUUUGUGUCUACAGCACUUGUGUGUUAUAGAUCUUGUGCCUUCUGAAAGAUGGAUAAUUACAGAUCCCUGGGGAGAUCAGCUAUAUAUAAAAUGCAGUAGUCAUCAGGUUGGGGGAGAGGCUGAUAGGUGUGGGCCACAACGAGAGAAUGAAUAGCUCUCUCGUCUCUGUCAAGCAGGAAAGGAAAAUGGUAAGAACAGACCUCAUUAGAGAAGUUGAGUGGGCAUGUGUGGCUUCCAGUUUCUGGGCAAGUGCUGUUUCUUCCCAGGGAUGAAAUAAAUGCUUGCUUCUGAAA